rnacentral:rRNA from 1 species
CUGCGCGGAAGAUGUAACGGGGCUCAAACCAUACACCGAAGCUACGGGUAUCACGCAAGUGAUGCGGUAGAGGAGCGUUCUGUAAGCCUGUGAAGGUGAGUUGAGAAGCUUGCUGGAGGUAUCAGAAGUGCGAAUGCUGACAUGAGUAACGACAAUGGGUGUGAAAAACACCCACGCCGAAAGACCAAGGUUUCCUGCGCAACGUUAAUCGACGCAGGGUUAGUCGGUCCCUAAGGCGAGGCUGAAAAGCGUAGUCGAUGGAAAACAGGUUAAUAUUCCUGUACUUCUGGUUAUUGCGAUGGAGGGACGGAGAAGGCUAGGCCAGCUUGGCGUUGGUUGUCCAAGUUUAAGGUGGUAGGCUGAAAUCUUAGGUAAAUCCGGGGUUUCAAGGCCGAGAGCUGAUGACGAGUUACCCUUUGGGUGACGAAGUGGUUGAUGCCAUGCUUCCAAGAAAAGCUUCUAAGCUUCAGAUAACCAGGAACCGUACCCCAAACCGACACAGGUGGUUGGGUAGAGAAUACCAAGGCGCUUGAGAGAACUCGGGUGAAGGAACUAGGCAAAAUG